rnacentral:lncRNA from 1 species
CUUACUACUCUCUACGUGUCCAAGAGUUAUCUGCAAUGUUGAUCUAAAAUACAAAACAAUUGCCCAGAAGUCAGGUAAGAGCAAUGCUGAAACUCCAUACUAUGGAAACAAGGUAUCUAGCUGGAUGCAGCUGGUAAAUUCAGUCCCAUGGACCUUUGGGGUUUAUUUUCCUUAGCAGCUGACACCAUGUGUCUUUUGCAUCCCUGGUGGUGCUUGGUGCUUCUGCCCGUCUGGGCUCAUUGAGAAUAGGGAUUAAGAUAUGAUUUUAGGGAAUCUCAGAUGGGCUGGCGUUCCCUGUGCAUGUAUGAGCUGUUACUAUAAAGUCAUGUGACUGGCAUUUUAACAAAGGCUUUAGAGCUUCUAUAUCCCAGUGUAUGUUGUCUCCCUUGAGUGGCCCCAGCAAGAUACCACAUAGUUGUCUAAUGAUGUUGCCAUUGGCAAAAACAUUUCUGGAACUCUCCUCAAAGUCUAGAAACGUCUAGAAAUAUAGACUCCUAAAAUGUUAGAAUUGGAAGGGACCUUAAAAGUCAUCUAUUCCAACCUCCUCCUCUUACUGAGGCAGAAGCUAAGAUUUGGAAUGGUGACUCACUGAUUACUAGGGAUUUAUUACAUCACCUUCUUUUGAUUCCUCCUGGGAGAUUUGCCCCUUCUUCUCUGGACAAAUCUUUAAUCUUUUGUGGUUAUAGAAGGGAGAAUUUUAAGUUUGAAACCAGUCAGAGGCUAUUUGAAGCCUCUGGAAGAGAAGGUAGGUCAAGAGGGUUUGGAGUCAUAGAUGAGGUACAGCCAUAAAGCAGCUAUUUUCUUCUGCUCCUAAACAGUUCCCAGAGAGACGUUCCAGAGAUGUCUUAAGCAUUCUGGUCAUCAUGGAGAUAUGUGGAGGCUCCUCAGUGACUACGUUGGUGGGAGUGUCACUCGAAUGUAUGUGUUCUGUGUGUCUGUGUGCGUGCACACAUGCAAAUGUAUGUUUAAACAUGCACCAAUCUCAUUACUUUAUAUUCACACCACUUCAGUUCUAGGCCCUGCCAGCAACAUGUCUCCAAAGGCUGCUGGAGGGUUGGUACCCAAGACAGAAGAGCUGGUGCUGGUGCUGGUCUGCGGAGUAAGAGGAGGGUGACUUAAUGCCCUUAGAGAAAUCAUCAGUUCCUGCCAUUUCACACAGUUCCCCUUGGUUCGGAGUACAUAAUAUCGGAAGGCUAGUCUCGUUGGUAGUAGCAAAGACACUUAUUUUUCCACUUGCCACCUUUUUCUAUAUCUCCAGUAAUUUGAAAAACAUUUUGGUUGGAACUGAUUUUUGUUUUUGGCAAAAAGAUAAAUAUUUUUAAUAGAAAAAGAUAUAUAUUUUAAAUAUUUCCCCCAAAGUACUACUUUCAUUUUAAGAAAUUGCAUAGCAGUAGCAACAAAUUUUAGUUUCAGGUGCAGAGUGAAAAGCUACUUCCUGUUAAGUGAACAUUCCAGACGCUGGAUCCAACUUACUGACUUUCCCCUUUGCACCUACUGUUGUGCCUGGAAUGGUAUCAACAAUUGUUGUUUUCCAAACUUCCAGCUGAGCAGUAGCCCUUCACACAGAGGCAAAGUGGUUUAGGUUAAGGAGCGACAAGGCUUCACCUCUGAUCUGCUCGGCUUUGGAGGAGGAAAAAACCACUAAGGUAUUAUCUGUAUUUUAAAAUGCUUCCCUUACUUAACUAAAACCUGAACACUUUUUGCUUCUGAAAGAAUUCUGUGUCCUGUAGCUCGCUUGCUUGCUUGUGAAGUUUGUCACAAAUGGAGUUGUCAAUGUGAAUUACUUGGAGACGGAGAAAGACAAGAAAAGGAAAAUAGAGCGAUGGGAGGGUUUGUGGGCUAGAAUGAGAGAAAUACCAUUUCACAAAACAAACAUUUCUCAUGAAUCAUUGGAAUCUGAUUCACCCUACAAAUUUCCCAUGCCCUACUAACUCUGUUCUUUGUGUAUAUGCAUUCUGUGUUUUUUAUUAAAGGGGAAGUUCUGAGAGGUUGGAGGAUCAAGGUCAUUCUGAUGGGAAGUCCAAGAAAUGCGGUGCCCUGGGAAGGGGGAGCUCAGCCCUUUUCCAUAGAGUGGGAGAGACACUUUGGGAACAUGCUCAUGACCCGUUGAUUGUAUCUGCUGGAAGAAGUCAUCUGGGCCUGUUGGGUUAGUGUCAAAUCAGGCGAUUAAGCAUCCAGCCCUUGGCCCCUUUCGUAUAAUUGCCUCUUUUUAAAAGGUUAAUUCGCCUUGGCUGAAGCUUCCCAGGAAAACCCUUUGUAAGUGGCUUCAUUUAUUUUUUUAAUUUAAUUUUUAGACUUUUGUCUGGAGGAAGAACUGGUGAUGAAUGCCUUCUGUUUUUGUUUUGUUUUUUUCUCAUUUUUCCUAAAAGAAAAAAAUGCCCUUAAGGAUUAAAGCUGCUUAAUUAAUUGCUGUCUGAUUACAAAGUGACAAACUAAGAUGGGAAACUGCCACUGUGCUUGACUGGUGAAGCUGAUGACCGAAGGCUGUGCCGUUCAUUCUUUCUGUUCCAUUCAGACAUUCCUGAGCUUCGUUCGAACUUGUGCCAACCCUGUGCUGGGUCAUGGAGAUACAAGGAUGGAAAGGACAGUCCCUGCUCCUAAGAAGCUCAGCCGCUAAUGGAAUGUAUUUGAAGGUAUAUGUGGCUGGAGAGUUUGUUCAUGCUCGUGUGAAAGGCCACUUCUUCAUAGUGAUGAUCUUGGAUGGAGUCAUUUGAGAUACUGUCCAGCACCUGACAGGCUGCACUGAACAUUUUAGACACCCCCAUCAGUAUUUCUCAAUUUGAUUGCAAUACUGCUUUCCAUUUCCUAAUUUUAUCAGAGGAGAAUGAAUUUUCUCCUCCAGUGAUAUAGGACAAUAAUUUCUCUUCAGGAGCUGCUUUUACAUAACCUCCAGGAAAUGAGGCAGGGUGUGGAUCAUUGACAUGGUCAGAGGAGGCCCACAUCCCACCUUACUGAUCUCCUAACCUCUCUCCCAACCAGACCUCUCACCAGAGCUGGCAGCAACUUUGGAUUCCUUUCCUUUUUCCUGCCUGGCUUUUCAUUGAGAUGGAAAGCCAACAGGAGAGGAAGGAAAGAAAAACUGAAGGCUGGAUUAUAAUCAUAAAAUGCUGUAGCUGGAAAGGGCAUGGAAAUAACUCAGAUCAAACUCACCCAUCUGCUUCCCCUUUUUUUUUUCCUAAUAAGGAACUUGAGGUCCAGUGCUUUAUGCCCUGUUGUCACUGUAGUUUCCUAGGAUCUAAAUAAUCUUUUUAAGUUACACACACACACACACAAUUUGCUAACGAGGAGGACACCCAAAUGAUAUAGGAAACUUUUUGUUUUAAUAGCUUUUUUCUUUUAAAAUUUUUCAGAAUUAAAAUAUGCCUCUGUCCCCUGAAUACAUACCCAGAUAGGGGAAACCCCAUAAUGUGACUAAUGUGAAUAUGGAAUCUUGGGAAGUGAUAUAUUUUGAUUGGAAUAGUCAUCAUUUUAACCACCAAGGGUUAAAACCAUGCCAGCCCUUCAUUUUUCUUUGAAAAAAUCAAGAACUCCUUAGGGACUUAAAUCUUUCUCAGCCAGCCUUUUCCCCCAUCAACCAAAAGAGUGGUAUUCAGCCUGGUUUUUAGAAGUGAACAUAGUUGCUUAUAAAUUCUUGUGAGUUAGUGACAAAGCAGGUAUGUUUUUUUGGGUCAGGGAGAUUCUAGGGAAAGCUGCUGUUGAAUAGAUUUUGCUCCAAAGAUGAUAUAGAAAAUGCAUCUUUACACGUGAUUGUUACCCACUGUAGCUUUCUGAAGAAGAUCGUUCUAUAGGAAAAAGAGACAUAAGCAGAGGUCACAACCAGUUUAGAGAUCGGUUAAAUUGGAUGAAGAAAAAGUGCCAAGACUGAAUGUGCACAUUGUUCUAUGUAUUAUCAGUAUUUUUAUUCUUCCUAAGAAAAAUAUUUACACACUUUGCUUUGUGAGUAAAUGCUUCCUUAAUGUCUUGUUAAUAAGCGUGGCAGGCUCCCUCUCUACCUUUUCUGGUGUCUUAAAUCAACUGGUUGGACAGAGCUGAGCUAAGGCCAGGCUUAUUCAUCUUCCUUCCCUCUCAUUUAAUAAGAGGUAAAAACAGGCAAUGCACUCCUCAAAGAUUAAAUUAUUAGAGCUCAAGAGAAGCUUUUGGGCCCUGGGUCUGGCCCUUAGCCUGCAGCAGAACACUUCAAUUCCUAAGGAGAGAAUGUAUAACUGUGUGAGGGAAAAAAAUUAUCUUAAAUGCCAUCUAAUGGUUUUAUUGUUACUCUCAAUUUGUACAGACACUGUUGUCCUUAGGGCCCUUCCCCUUCCCACCUACAAACAGAAAAUGGGAUGCAUAUUGGUUUUCUACCUGCUGUCUUCACUGGAAUUGGAGAAGGGGCCUGGAUCCUUGUGGACCGCCACUGCGGGCUGCCUCC